rnacentral:lncRNA from 1 species
GAGUGGACAGCAGACGCUGCUGAGAUGAGGGGGAGUGAGCUAUAGGAUCAGGAGUGAGAAUGGCCACUUUCUGCCCUUCUCAGAGUGUUUUUCUAAGCAAGAACUGCACCCGUUGUGACAGAAGAGGCGCUAAAGCUGCAAAUUCCUGGGCCUCGACCCACUAGUUCCUAAUCAGAAACUCCAGGGUGGAGACGCAGGAUCUGCAUCCCUGGGAUCACACUGCCUUUCGAGAACCAUCCACCUGCCAGCUCCAAGUAGGUCGAGGGAGCAGCGGCACCUGGGAUCCCACCGGACCGGGAAGAGUCAAAUCCAGGUUUCUCCCUGCUUCACCAAAAGGCCCCCUGCCUCCACCGCAACAGGAACAGUCUCUGUCUGGGAACUGCGGUUGCCUAAGGCUCGGUUUGCUCUUCAGCACUCCGGUCCCCCAACACCGCGUCAGGCGGCGCCCAGCCUCCCGGGGACUCGCAGACGCUCACUCCCCAGACCACAGCGACACCUGCCGAGGCCCCGCGGAACCGCGCUGCACAGCAACCCAGCGCGGCGGGGGGAGUGGCCUGGGGCCAUUCUCCGGCCCCCACCCCCCGCCCGUGACCACCGUGCGCUGCCAGAGGGGAGGCUGCGGGAAUGGCCAGCGAGGUCUCGCAGGGGGACUGGUUGUCUUUUAGGAAAUCAAGGGGCCAGCGCCCCCAGUGCCGGCUGGGAGAUGCCUUCAGAGUUCGAAGAGAAAAGAUGCGACCUUCAAUCCGCUCCAUUCUCCGUCAGACAGGCCCUGCGGACGGAGCUCCUGCCACCGCUGCAGCCCCAUGAUGUGUGCUCCUACGCCCCGCCCCGCUGCAGCCCAGCCCACCCCACCCCCAUACGGAAAUCCUGCAGGAGAAACUGAAACACUAGCGACAGUGGGACAUAUCCCCGGGAGCAGUUGCGGGAGGGAGAGAAGGAAGGAGCAAAGGGGAAGAGGAAGAGAGAGAGAGAGCUCAAGGGAGCCUUCUUGGAAAGGUUUAACCCGACAGCUUGAAGGCGGCGGGUAGUAAAGCAGCGAACUGGUGAACGGGCGUCCUGACCCGCCACACUUCCCUCACCGACACCCCUCAUCCGCGAUACCCCACAGGACAGGAUGUCCAGCUGCCCUCACUUAUCGUGCCCCUGGGCAUUUGAGGGGUUCAGAGAGAGAAACGCAGUAACUUAUUACCCUCACAUGAUAUAUUUUCACUUUCUUCUCCUGAUUGUCAGCUCAAUUAGAUAAGGGACCUUGUGUUUUAUUCCGUUGUACCCCGUGCCUGACACAUGGUAGCUGCUGGAUAGAGAUUUCUUCGAUGAUUGAUUAUAAAACACACUAAUUUAGAGCUUACUAUGUUAUAAGAUCUCCAUCUUCAGUGACUCACUUAUUCCUCACAAGAAGCCUAGGAGGUAAGGUUUUCCAAUAAGGAGAGCCAGGCACCCCAUAAUGAACGUGCACGGUGUCACAUUCCCAGCAAGUGCCGAAGCUGGGGUCAGAUUCAGGCAACCUGGCCCAGUGCCCUCACAGUUCAUCCGGCCUCCACAUGGCCAUUUUGUCCAUGAAUAAAUGAAUAAGUGAA